CAGUUCAUUCUGCUCCUUCUCUUCCUUUACGGGCUUGCCGAGUUUCUGAACAGCAGCUACACUUUGCUGAAUCCCCAUAUCCGAAUGGAAUAUUUCAGUAUGGAUUGAUCUACUGGUGAUGCAAUCAUCUCAAGUCAUGUGACAGUUUCCUCUGAAUUGAAAGGAGACAAGUGAUAGAAGAUGACACCAGAGAAUGUGUAAGGGACCAGGGAGAAGCACACGAGACAAGAAAAAGCUUUCUGCUUCUUUAUCUGACCGCCAUUUGAGGAACUGUGCCAAAAGAACCCUCUGAAGCUGUGAGCCCAAAUAACACUCUCCCUUAACUUGCAUCUGUCUGGUGUUUUUGCUGAAACAGGAGGAGCAGCUAAUGCAAUCGAUGUAAAACAAAUGUGAACCAAGCUGUUUGCUUAUAUGGUGGAUUACAUUGAUGGAUUUUCAUAUGUUGAACCAUCCUUGCAUCCCUGGGAUGAAGCCUACUUGAUCAUGCUGCCAGUGGGACAACUGACCAAACCUGACAUGAAGUCUGCAUUAGAUGUUAGUUAAUCAAUAUGAAGGCAUGCCAGCUAUUGUUCACAGAGUCUCUUUUCAGAAUCUCAAGAAGCAGAAAAUGGAACAGAAACCAUAAAAUAGGAGUCUGGACUUGAAAGCCUUCCCUGGACAGCGUUUUCAGUGUGUGAUUGUAGGCAAUCACAGUGGAGUGUCGGACAGCAGUUCUCAAGAGUGGGAACCUGUGACCCGCUGAAGUGGAAAUUCUGCGGUGGGCUCAGCAGUUUGUUUGACAAGCCCUGCAGGUGCUGCUGCAGCCUGCUGAAGUUGAAGAACAGCUGACUGAGGGCAUCCAGUUG
rnacentral:lncRNA from 1 species